AAGGCCAGGGGAGCAANCCGNAUUANANNCCCGGGNAGUCNUGNCUGUAAAGNAUNCGGNNUAGGUNUCGGNCNAGNUUNGAGCUCGCCCGGUNCCGAAGGGAAGCCGUUAAGCCCGCCGCCUGGGGAGUACGGCCGCAAGGCUGAAACUUAAAGGAAUUGGCGGGGGAGCACUACAAGGGGUGGAGCGUGCGGUUUAAUUGGAUUCAACGCCGGGAACCUCACCGGGGGCGACGGCAGGAUGAAGGCCAGGCUGAAGGUCUUGCCGGACACGCCGAGAGGAGGUGCAUGGCCGCCGUCAGCUCGUACCGUGAGGCGUCCACUUAAGUGUGGUAACGAGCGAGACCCGCGCCCCCAGUUGCCAGUCCUCCCCGCUGGGGAGGAGGCACUCUGGGGGGACCGCCGGCGAUAAGCCGGAGGAAGGAGCGGGCGACGGUAGGUCAGUAUGCCCCGAAACCCCCGGGCUACACGCGCGCUACAAUGAGCGGGACAAUGGGAUCCGACCCCGAAAGGGGAAGGUAAUCCCCUAAACCCGCUCCCAGUUCGGAUCGCGGGCUGCAACUCGCCCGCGUGAAGCUGGAAUCCCUAGUACCCGCGUGUCAUCAUCGCGCGGCGAAUACGUCCCUGCUCCUUGCACUCACCGCCCGUC
rnacentral:rRNA from 1 species